rnacentral:tRNA from 1 species
AUUUAUAUAAUAUAAAAAUUAUAUUUGACUUCCAAUCAAAAAAUCUAGAACCCCUAGUAUAAAUA